rnacentral:tRNA from 1 species
CGGGGUGUGGCGCAGCCUGGUAGCGCACGCGUCUGGGGGGCGUGGGGUCGCAAGUUCAAAUCUUGUCACCCCGA